GCGUAUAUGAGGCUGAAUAAUCUAGAGGAGGCAGGGCAUUGGUACAGAGAGUCACUGAAGGCCAAACCUGACCAUAUUCCUGCCCACCUGACCUAUGGAAAACUGCUGUCUGUCAUGGGACAGAAGUCUGAAGCAGAGCAUUACUUCCUGAAGGCAAUAAAGCUGGAUCCUGCGAGAGGAAACUGCUAUAUGCAUUACGGUCAGUUUCUGUUGGAAGAGUCUCGUCUGGGAGAG